AACACCCCCGCGCCUUAUGAAAAAGCUAUAUGUGUGGGGUGUAGGAGUGAAUAGUAUCUAAUGUAUAAUAUUUCUCUUUGAUAAAACAUUAAUUGUUCUUCCAGUUCCAGUGGUAAACUUCACUAUUUUAUUGGUGAGCAGAGGGGAAAAGCUUGGAUGUUGUUUUCUUGUUCUGAAAUCAUUUUAUGUCAUCGUAGAAAGUGAUGAAGUUUCCUGGAAUAACUUGUAUGUUUAAUUAAGCCCCAGGGCCUAUGUCCCGUGGAAAGCACUUAAGUUGCUGCAAUCUUUUUUACACCUAUCCAAUACUCUUUAGAUAUUAUGGUAAUUAUUUCCUCAUUACUAAGGUUUCUUUAUUACUCUUCCAUUCGUGCUUAGAAUCAAGUGGAGUGCACUCUGAAGAGUAUAAAGUUUCUUCAAAGAAAGAUAAGAAAAGAAGGCUCAAGACACCAGCCAGGUUAUGGCUUUGGAAAAUUUUUAUAAUGAGCACAAGUAUCCUACGGAAGAAAUGAAGUCCCAGCUUGCAGAGCAGAUAGGAUUGACAGAAAAGCAAAUAUCUGGAUGGUUUUGCCACAGGAGGUUAAAAG